rnacentral:rRNA from 1 species
ACUCAAAUGAAUUGACGGGGGCCCGCACAAGUGGUGGAGCAUGUGGUUUAAUUCGACGCUACGCGAAGAACCUUACCUGGGUUUGAAAUUCACAGGAAGACUCCAGAGAUGGUGUUCGUCCUUCGGGACUUGUGAACAGGUGCUGCAUGGCUGUCGUCAGCUCGUGCCGUGAGGUGUUGGGUUAAGUCCCGCAACGAGCGCAACCCUUGUCCUUAGUUGCCAUCGGGUGAUGCCGGGCACUCUGGGGAGACUGCCAACACAAGUUGGAGGAAGGUAGGGAUGACGUCAAGUCAGCAUGGCCCUUACGUCCAGGGCUACACACGUGCUACAAUGGUCGGUACAAAGGGCUGCCAACCCGCGAGGGGGAGCGAAUCCCAUAAAGCCGAUCUCAGUUCGGAUUGCAGGCUGCAACUCGCCUGCAUGAAGUCGGAAUCACUAGUAACCGCAGAUCAGCUACGCUGCGGUGAAUACGUUCCCGGGCCUUGUACACACCGCCCGU